AGCGAACGCUGGCGGCAGGCCUAACACAUGCAAGUCGAACGAACCUUUCGGGGUUAGUGGCGGACGGGUGAGUAACACGUGGGAACGUGCCUUUAGGUUCGGAAUAACUCAGGGAAACUUGUGCUAAUACCGAAUGUGCCCUUCGGGGGAAAGAUUUAUCGCCUUUAGAGCGGCCCGCGUCUGAUUAGCUAGUUGGUUGAGGUAAUGGCUCACCAAGGCGACGUUCAGUAGCUGGUCUGAGAGGAUGAUCAGCCACAUUGGGACUGAGACACGGCCCAAACUCCUACGGGAGGCAGCAGUGGGGAAUCUUGCGCAAUGGGCGAAAGCCUGACGCAGCCAUGCCGCGUGAAUGAUGAAGGUCUUAGGAUUGUAAAAUUCUUUCACCGGGGACGAUAAUGACGGUACCCGGAGAAGAAGCCCCGGCUAACUUCGU
rnacentral:rRNA from 1 species